rnacentral:rRNA from 1 species
CAGGAUGAACGCUAGCUACAGGCUUAACACAUGCAAGUCGAGGGGAAACGACAUCGAAAGCUUGCUUUUGAUGGGCGUCGACCGGCGCACGGGUGAGUAACGCGUAUCCAACCUGCCCAUCACUUGGGGAUAACCUUGCGAAAGUAAGACUAAUACCCAAUGAUAUCUCUAGAAGACAUCUGAAAGAGAUUAAAGAUUUAUCGGUGAUGGAUGGGGAUGCGUCUGAUUAGCUUGUUGGCGGGGUAACGGCUCACCAAGGCGACGAUCAGUAGGGGUUCUGAGAGGAAGGUCCCCCACAUUGGAACUGAGACACGGUCCAAACUCCUACGGGAGGCAGCAGUGAGGAAUAUUGGUCAAUGGACGAGAGUCUGAACCAGCCAAGUAGCGUGCAGGAUGACGGCCCUAUGGGUUGUAAACUGCUUUUAUAAGGGAAUAAAGUGAGUCUCGUGAGACUUUUUGCAUGUACCUUAUGAAUAAGGACCGGCUAAUUCCGUGCCAGCAGCCGCGGUAAUACGGAAGGUCCGGGCGUUAUCCGGAUUUAUUGGGUUUAAAGGGAGCGUAGGCCGGAGAUUAAGCGUGUUGUGAAAUGUAGACGCUCAACGUCUGCACUGCAGCGCGAACUGUUUUCCUUGAGUACGCACAAAGUGGGCGGAAUUCGUGGUGUAGCGGUGAAAUGCUUAGAUAUCACGAAGAACUCCGAUUGCGAAGGCAGCUCACUGGAGCGCAACUGACGCUGAAGCUCGAAAGUGCGGGUAUCGAACAGGAUUAGAUACCCUGGUAGUCCGCACGGUAAACGAUGGAUGCCCGCUGUUGGUCUGAAUAGGUCAGCGGCCAAGCGAAAGCAUUAAGCAUCCCACCUGGGGAGUACGCCGGCAACGG